CCUACGGGGGGCAGCAGUGGGGAAUAUUGCACAAUGGGCGCAAGCCUGAUGCAGCCAUGCCGCGUGUGUGAAGAAGGCCUUCGGGUUGUAAAGCACUUUCAGCGGGGAGGAAGGCGUUAAGGUUAAUAACCUUGGCGAUUGACGUUACCCGCAGAAGAAGCACCGGCUAACUCCGUGCCAGCAGCCGCGGUAAUACGGAGGGUGCAAGCGUUAAUCGGAAUUACUGGGCGUAAAGCGCACGCAGGCGGUCUGUCAAGUCGGAUGUGAAAUCCCCGGGCUCAACCUGGGAACUGCAUUCGAAACUGGCAGGCUAGAGUCUUGUAGAGGGGGGUAGAAUUCCAGGUGUAGCGGUGAAAUGCGUAGCGAUCUGGAGGAAUACCGGUGGCGAAGGCGGCCCCCUGGACAAAGACUGACGCUCAGGUGCGAAAGCGUCGGGAGCAAACAGGAUUAGAUACCCCAGUAGUC
rnacentral:rRNA from 1 species